UGAAACAUCUUCGGGUUGUGAGGUUAAGCGACUAAGCGUGCACGGUGGAUGCCCUGGCAGUCAGAGGCGAUGAAGGACGUGCUAAUCUGCGAUAAGCGUCGGUGAGGUGAUAUGAACCGUUAUAACCGGCGAUUUCCGAAUGGGGAAACCCAGUGUGUUUCGACACACUAUCAUUAACUGAAUCCAUAGGUUAAUGAGGCGAACCGGGGGAACUGAAACAUCUAAGUACCCCGAGGAAAAGAAAUCAACCGAGAUUCCCCCAGUAGCGGCGAGCGAACGGGGAGGAGCCCAGAGCCUGAAUCAGUGUGUGUGUUAGUGGAAGCGUCUGGAAAGGCGUGCGAUACAGGGUGACAGCCCCGUACACAAAAAUGCACAUAUUGUGAGCUCGAUGAGUAGGGCGGGACACGUGGUAUCCUGUCUGAAUAUGGGGGGACCAUCCUCCAAGGCUAAAUACUCCUGACUGACCGAUAGUGAACCAGUACCGUGAGGGAAAGGCGAAAAGAACCCCGGCGAGGGGAGUGAAAAAGAACCUGAAACCGUGUACGUACAAGCAGUGGGAGCCUCUUAAUGGGGUGACUGCGUACCUUUUGUAUAAUGGGUCAGCGACUUAUAUUCUGUAGCAAGGUUAACCGAAUAGGGGAGCCGAAGGGAAACCGAGUCUUAACUGGGCGUUAAGUUGCAGGGUAUAGACCCGAAACCCGGUGAUCUAGCCAUGGGCAGGUUGAAGGUUGGGUAACACUAACUGGAGGACCGAACCGACUAAUGUUGAAAAAUUAGCGGAUGACUUGUGGCUGGGGGUGAAAGGCCAAUCAAACCGGGAGAUAGCUGGUUCUCCCCGAAAGCUAUUUAGGUAGCGCCUCGUGAAUUCAUCUCCGGGGGUAGAGCACUGUUUCGGCAAGGGGGUCAUCCCGACUUACCAACCCGAUGCAAACUGCGAAUACCGGAGAAUGUUAUCACGGGAGACACACGGCGGGUGCUAACGUCCGUCGUGAAGAGGGAAACAACCCAGACCGCCAGCUAAGGUCCCAAAGUCAUGGUUAAGUGGGAAACGAUGUGGGAAGGCCCAGACAGCCAGGAUGUUGGCUUAGAAGCAGCCAUCAUUUAAAGAAAGCGUAAUAGCUCACUGGUCGAGUCGGCCUGCGCGGAAGAUGUAACGGGGCUAAACCAUGCACCGAAGCUGCGGCAGCGACACUAUGUGUUGUUGGGUAGGGGAGCGUUCUGUAAGCCUGUGAAGGUGGCCUGUGAGGGUUGCUGGAGGUAUCAGAAGUGCGAAUGCUGACAUAAGUAACGAUAAAGCGGGUGAAAAGCCCGCUCGCCGGAAGACCAAGGGUUCCUGUCCAACGUUAAUCGGGGCAGGGUGAGUCGACCCCUAAGGCGAGGCCGAAAGGCGUAGUCGAUGGGAAACAGGUUAAUAUUCCUGUACUUGGUGUUACUGCGAAGGGGGGACGGAGAAGGCUAUGUUGGCCGGGCGACGGUUGUCCCGGUUUAAGCGUGUAGGCUGGUUUUCCAGGCAAAUCCGGAAAACCAAGGCUGAGGCGUGAUGACGAGGCACUACGGUGCUGAAGCGACAAAUGCCCUGCUUCCAGGAAAAGCCUCUAAGCAUCAGGUAACAUCAAAUCGUACCCCAAACCGACACAGGUGGUCAGGUAGAGAAUACCAAGGCGCUUGAGAGAACUCGGGUGAAGGAACUAGGCAAAAUGGUGCCGUAACUUCGGGAGAAGGCACGCUGAUAUGUAGGUGAAGCGACUUGCUCGUGGAGCUGAAAUCAGUCGAAGAUACCAGCUGGCUGCAACUGUUUAUUAAAAACACAGCACUGUGCAAACACGAAAGUGGACGUAUACGGUGUGACGCCUGCCCGGUGCCGGAAGGUUAAUUGAUGGGGUUAGCGGUAACGCGAAGCUCUUGAUCGAAGCCCCGGUAAACGGCGGCCGUAACUAUAACGGUCCUAAGGUAGCGAAAUUCCUUGUCGGGUAAGUUCCGACCUGCACGAAUGGCGUAAUGAUGGCCAGGCUGUCUCCACCCGAGACUCAGUGAAAUUGAACUCGCUGUGAAGAUGCAGUGUACCCGCGGCAAGACGGAAAGACCCCGUGAACCUUUACUAUAGCUUGACACUGAACAUUGAGCCUUGAUGUGUAGGAUAGGUGGGAGGCUUUGAAGUGUGGACGCCAGUCUGCAUGGAGCCGACCUUGAAAUACCACCCUUUAAUGUUUGAUGUUCUAACGUUGGCCCGUAAUCCGGGUUGCGGACAGUGUCUGGUGGGUAGUUUGACUGGGGCGGUCUCCUCCUAAAGAGUAACGGAGGAGCACGAAGGUUGGCUAAUCCUGGUCGGACAUCAGGAGGUUAGUGCAAUGGCAUAAGCCAGCUUGACUGCGAGCGUGACGGCGCGAGCAGGUGCGAAAGCAGGUCAUAGUGAUCCGGUGGUUCUGAAUGGAAGGGCCAUCGCUCAACGGAUAAAAGGUACUCCGGGGAUAACAGGCUGAUACCGCCCAAGAGUUCAUAUCGACGGCGGUGUUUGGCACCUCGAUGUCGGCUCAUCACAUCCUGGGGCUGAAGUAGGUCCCAAGGGUAUGGCUGUUCGCCAUUUAAAGUGGUACGCGAGCUGGGUUUAGAACGUCGUGAGACAGUUCGGUCCCUAUCUGCCGUGGGCGCUGGAGAACUGAGGGGGGCUGCUCCUAGUACGAGAGGACCGGAGUGGACGCAUCACUGGUGUUCGGGUUGUCAUGCCAAUGGCACUGCCCGGUAGCUAAAUGCGGAAGAGAUAAGUGCUGAAAGCAUCUAAGCACGAAACUUGCCCCGAGAUGAGUUCUCCCUGAGACUUAGAGUCUCCUGAAGGAACGUUGAAGACGACGACGUUGAUAGGCCGGGUGUGUAAGCGCAGCGAUGCGUUGAGCUAACCGGUACUAAUGAACCGUGAGGCUUAACCUU
rnacentral:rRNA from 1 species